UCGUGUGUAGUGUAGUUGUAGUUGUAGUUGGAGUUGUGUUGUCUUGUAGUUGAGUCGUAAUCGUAGCCGUAGUAGUCGUGCACAACCACCUUCUAUCCUCUCCUAUACUUUUAACGCUUUAAAAACGAUAAUAGAAUUAUUGUAUCUAAUUGUUGGUAAAGUAAAAGUAGGGGGAGGAAAAAUUGAAGUUAGAGGUGGAGAAAAAGAUCGUAACUGCACUUCUCCACUGCUUGUUUGUUGCAUUGCUCCUUCUCCGGAAGACGAAGUAGUUUCUAUGUUAGUUUUCAACAUUUUUAAAUAAUAUUAGUUGUAAAUAAAAUGUAAUUAUAUAUAAGUGUUGAUUAUUAAUACUAAUAGGCACAAUUAUAUUGUAUUGUAUAAUGUUGCAAAGAUAAACGGCGAAAGUA